GGUUGCACUAGUUAUCGCUGCUUGCAGUAAGUUAUCCAGCUGUUCUUCGGCUAGUUAUCGGUGUUCUUCCUAUGUCGUGAGGAUCGUGUCAACGUGCCGCAUCAUCUGGUAUCAAAGCUUUCGUUACCACGGUAGGAAUUUUAUCCCUAGCUACAUAUAUAUUUUGCUUCGUCCUAUCCACCAAAAAGCCAGAAAAAUAUAUUGCUUAGACCGUUGUUUCAAUCUGUUAUUUUAGUGAGUUCGGUUAAGUCGCAGUCCAUUAGAGUCUUUGUUUUAGUUGCUGAUCAUUUAUCCUUCGCGUGUUCUCUGUGCCUCUUUUAUAUCUAAAAAUCCCCAAAAAAAAAUCUUUAUAGCCUAUAUCAUCCUUUGUGUUAACUUUGAUCCUAUCUAGCUACUGGUUGUUGUUUUAUUUCUGUCUUUAGUUGUGCAAGUAUCAUAAUCUGAUCCCUGUUUUUUAGUUCUAUAUAUAUAAAAAAGUGUGUCAAAAAAAAGAAAGUGCAAAAAAAUUGAAGUGAAAAAAUAAGUUGAGAAAGGUUCAGAGAGAAAGUCUGAAAGAUUAGUUGGUUUAUGUGCACAAGUGCUGAAAGUUUCAUAUCAAGUUCUGCAACUGGUUUGCUAUCUUUGUUUGGUGCAAAACUUUGGUUGGGUC
rnacentral:lncRNA from 1 species